CCGCCAUUAGCUCAUCGGGAUAGAGCGCCAGCCUUCGGAGCUGGCGGCGCGGGGUUCGAGUCCUCGAUGGCGGUCCA
rnacentral:tRNA from 1 species